UACGUAGGGGGCAAGCGUUGUCCGGAAUCAUUGGGCGUAAAGAGCGCGUAGGCGGCCCGAUAAGUCCGCUGUGAAAGUCAAGGGCUCAACCCUUGAAUGCCGGUGGAUACUGUCGGGCUAGAGUCCGGAAGAGGCGAGUGGAAUUCCUGGUGUAGCGGUGAAAUGCGCAGAUAUCAGGAGGAACACCAAUGGCGAAGGCAGAUCUCUGGGCCGUAACUGACGCUGAGGAGCGAAAGCAUGGGGAGCGAACAGG
rnacentral:rRNA from 1 species